rnacentral:rRNA from 1 species
ACAGAGGUCCCAACCGUUGUUCGGAUUCACUGGGCGUAAAGGGUGCGUAGGCGGCGGGGCAAGUCAGGUGUGAAAUCUCGGGGCUCAACCCCGAAACUGCACUUGAUACUGCCUUGCUCGAGUACUGGAGAGGAGACUGGAAUUUACGGUGUAGCAGUGAAAUGCGUAGAUAUCGUAAGGAAGACCAGUGGCGAAGGCGAGUCUCUGGACAGUUACUGACGCUGAGGCACGAAGGCCAGGGGAGCAAACGGGA